GAUGAACGCUAGCGGCAGGCUUAAUACAUGCAAGUCGAGGGGCAGCACAGGUAGCAAUACUGGGUGGUAACCGGCAAACGGGUGCGGAACACGUACACAACCUUCCUUUAAGUGGGGGAUAGCCCAGAGAAAUUUGGAUUAAUACCCCGUAAUAUAGUUGAAUGGCAUCAUUUGAUUAUUAUAGCUACGGCGCUUAAUGAUGGGUGUGCGGCUGAUUAGAUAGUUGGCGGGGUAACGGGCCACCAAGUCUACGAUCAGUAGCUGAUGUGAGAGCAUGAUCAGCCACACGGGCACUGAGACACGGGCCCGACUCCUACGGGAGGCAGCAGUAAGGAAUAUUGGUCAAUGAACGCAAGUCUGAACCAGCCAUGCCGCGUGAAGGAUUAAGGUCCUCUGGAUUGUAAACUUCUUUUAUUUGGGACGAAAAAGGGCCUUUCUAGGUCAACUGACGGUACCAGAUGAAUAGGCACCGGCUAACUCCGUGCCAGCAGCCGCCGUAAAAC
rnacentral:rRNA from 1 species